rnacentral:sRNA from 1 species
GCCGGGCAUGGUGGUGCAUAUCUGUAAUCCCAGUGGCUUAGGAGGCUGAGGCAGGAGGAUGGUGAGUUCAAAGCCAGCCUCGG